GAAGGUAAGGGUAAAAGCGUAAAUUGGAAUUCACAUGGAGGCCACUGCACUUCCCUUUCUUCUUCCCUGUCUCUAAUGGCGCAAGAGUUGUCACUGUGCUGCUGCAACCAGACCUUUCUCUCUCUUCUUUCUCUCUCCUCCGACAAACCACACCGAAACUGAAAAAGAGGACUACACUCAAAGAAAGAGAGAGAGAGAUAUUCCGAAUUUCCACAUGGAAGAUGAAGAAGAAUGAGAAGAACUAUACAAUUUUCCCGCAAAGCAAUGCAUGACCUGUGAGCUCUAUUUUGUGACCAUUCAUCUUCUCUCUCUUCCGACAUGCAUUCUGGUGAGUUUGGGGCGCCGACGUUGAAGAUCUUGUUCUUGAUCUUCUGAUUCGGAUUUGUAUUGGUGCCGAUUGCAUUGUUUCUUUCAUUUUGAAGAUUCAUUACUCUGUCGAAGGUAUUGGUUAAUGUCAACUGCCUGAGGAACUAUUUCGUUCUCUUGUAGCAUCGUUGUAAUCGGUGGUGGUGCUUUGAUAUUUCGAACUUUCUGUCAGAGAUUCCGAGCUUGGUUUUUUUUUUUUUUAUGGAUCGAGUUGGAGAUUAUCCAGAAACUUUGUUUUUGUGAUUUUGAGUGUUGUGGAGUUAAAGAUUGAUCUAGAGUUUUGAGAGGCAAUCAUGUCGUCGUGGGAAACGCUUGGGGAGAUUGCAAAUGUAGCCCAGCUUACGGGCAUUGAUGCAGUUCGUUUGAUUUCCAUGAUAGUGAAAUCUGCGAGCACUGCUCGAAUGCACAAAAAGAACUGCAGGCAAUUUGCUCAGCACCUGAAGUUGAUUGGAAACCUGCUGGAGCAGCUCAAGAUCUCGGAGCUUAAGAGGUAUCCUGAGACUCGGGAGCCUCUGGAGCAGCUUGAAGAAGCUUUAAGAAGGUCGUAUAUUUUAGUUAACAGCUGCCAGGACCGCAGCUAUCUCUAUCUGCUUGCAAUGGGAUGGAACAUCGUUUACCAAUUCAGGAAGGCUCAGAAUGAAAUUGACAGAUAUCUUCGUCUUGUUCCUCUGAUUACACUCGUGGACAAUGCUCGAGUCAGGGAGAGACUGGAAGACAUUGAGAAGGAUCAGCGUGAAUAUACUUUGGAUGACGAUGACAAAAGGAUUCAUGAAGUAAUUCUGAACCCGGAACCUUCAAAAGAUGAGGCAAUGGUGUUGAAGAAAUCCCUUUCUUGUUCUUAUCCAAACUUGCCGUUUAACAAAGCUCUACAAAAAGAAAAUGAAAAGCUUCAGCUAGAACUACAACGGUCUCAAGCUAAUCUGAAUGUGGGUGAAUGUGAGGUCAUUCAACGUUUGAUAGAUGUCACUGAAUCUGUAGCUGCAAGUUCUCUUCCUGAGAAGAAUUCACCUGAAAAAUCCCAUAAAGUAGUGGAAAAUACAUAUGUAGAUGCCAACAACGGACAUUCAUCUGAUGAAAAUUUCUAUAAGAAUACUGAUGCUCGAACAACCUCAAGAAAAAGUUCUGUAUCAUCAGGACAUGAUCUGCUCUCGACCAGGGGUUCUGAUCGGUAUGGUGAAUGGAACACUGACUUACUUGAUUGUUGUUCAGAACCUUCUCUGUGUCUUAAAACUUUUUUCUACCCUUGUGGGACUUUAUCAAGGAUUGCUACGGUUGCAACUAAUAGGCAUACAUCACCAGCAGAAGCAUGUAAUGAUUUGAUGGCAUAUUCAUUGAUACUAUCGUGCUGUUGCUAUACUUGCUGUGUUAGAAGAAAGCUUCGCAAGAUGUUAAACAUCACGGGAGGUUUUGUUGAUGACUUUCUCUCCCAUCUUAUGUGCUGCUGCUGCGCCCUGGUCCAAGAAUGGCGAGAAGUUGAGAUACGCGGGGUUUAUGGUCCUGAAAAGACGAAAACAAGCCCUCCACCCUCCCAAUACAUGGAAUCCUAAAGUACAGUUGACAUAUUCAACCAUCCAUAGUCUCGGAAUAGUUUCAAUUCGUGAGUUAUGUAAUGGAUACAGGAGGAGUCUAAGAUAUUUGAACGAAGGGGACUUUAUUCUUGGAAGGAAGAAUACAAUUCAAGUGAGAAGGAGCCUCAUGACUUGUGGGGAGCUCGAGUCUUAAAGUGAGGGAGUCUUGGUCUUAGGGGGAGCCUAAGACAUUCUUCACUAAUACUACUACUUAGGGGGAGCCUAAGUUUCCGUGAGAGGGAAUCUCAAACCUAAGGGAGCAAAAGUCUAUGAUUGAGUGAUAAAAUUGUUUGAAAGUCACUGUAAUUGUGUACGUUGUAAUUGUUUAUCAUUGAUAUUAGUGAAGUUAUCUUUCCUAGGCACAUUGCUCUCUUUAGACAUAGGUGGUUUACUCUAAAUUAGGUUACCAAUCUCUUGCAUUCAUUUGUCUCUAGAUUAUUUCUUGUAAUUGUUGUGUGGAAUAUUGUAAUAUUGUACAUAACAUAGUUAUCAUGUAGUUG